rnacentral:rRNA from 1 species
GAUGAACGCUAGCGGGAGGCCUAAUACAUGCAAGUCGAGCGGUAGAAUGACUUCGGUUGUUUGAGAGCGGCGAACGGGUGAGUAACGCGUACACAAUCUACCUUUAAGGAGGGGAAUAGCCCUGGGAAACUGGGAUUAAUGCCCAUGGCAUCGACGGGAUGGCAUCGUUUUGUGAUUAAAGCUGAGGUGCUUAAAGAUGAGUGUGCGUCUGAUUAGCUAGUUGGUACGGUAACGGCGUACCAAGGCGACGAUCAGUAGUUGGUCUGAGAGGACGACCAGCCACACUGGGACUGAGACACGGCCCAGACUCCUACGGGAGGCAGCAGUGGGGAAUUUUGGACAAUGGCGCAAGCCUGAUCCAGCAAUGCCGCGUGAGUGAAGAAGGCCUCGGUGUAAG